GGCAGAUGCCAGUGAGCAAUGUUGAGGUCAAAGAACUUUUGGAAGAGAAAUGGAGCCAGGCGGGCAUGUUCUGAUGGCUUCUUCAGAGGACACGGAGAAAUCAAGCUAGAACUGAGCCGACAGCUUCCUCUCUUCUCACUAGUGUUCGUAGUUUUGGAAAGUGUUAUACACACUGCUGGAGGAGACAAGUGAUCCAUAGCAUCACCCAGCGGUGGAUCUUGUAUGUCACAAUGAUGAGCUGUCAGGAGGGUGAGUCCACAAUUGCAGGGGAGGCAUGGCCAAGGGAGGCCAGAGAAGGAAGACGAGAGAUCACAUCUCAACCACAUGCAGAAAGCAGCAUUGUAAGAACUGGAAGUGGGGUAAGACUACAAAUUUCCAAAGUCCAUCUGCAGUUCUCCAAGGAAGGCUCCCAUGCAAAACUAUCCUAGACAGUGCCACCAGCUGGGGACCAAAUGUUGAAAUACAUGAGUCUAUUGGUGGACAUUUCUCAUUCAAACCACCACACUAUAUAAAUUUGAGAGAUAUCAACAUUAAAUCCAUAACAUAUGGACUAAAGGUUAAGA